rnacentral:misc_RNA from 1 species
GAUGAAGAACGCAGCGAAAUGCGAUACGUAAUGUGAAUUGCAGAAUUCAGUGAAUCAUCGAGUCUUUGAACGCCCAUUGCGGCCCCUGGUAUUCCGGGGGGCAUGCCUGUCCGAGCGUCAUUGCUGCCCUCAAGCACGGCUUGUGUGUUGGGCCUCCGUCCUCCUCCCGGGGGACGGGCCCGAAAGGCAGCGGCGGCACCGCGUCCGGUCCUCGAGCGUAUGGGGCUUCGUCACCCGCUCUUGUAGGCCCGGCCGGCGCUUGCCGACACAUCAAUCUUUUUUCCAGGUUGACCUCGGAUCAGGUAGGGAUACCCGCUGAACUUAAGCAUAUCAAUAAGCGGAGGA